rnacentral:SRP_RNA from 1 species
CGGCGGGAAAGCCCCUGGGGGCUGCCCCUCCCCAGUACCGCAAACGGGGCAUACGGCGGGGGGCGUCAACCCCGAGGGAGUGUGCGCGCGGAGCGCUGGGGCGGUAGUGGAGCGGUGGCGAUGACGCUCCGGUCCCCGCGGACGGCCGCAGGUGGUAGACCCUCCGGAGGGAGGGCCGAACCACCGUACCGCCGAACCGGGUUAGGCCCGGAAGGGAGCGGCCCUAAGGCGGAGCGGCCGUGUUGCGGGGGGUGCCGGAGCUAGCCGCCAGCUGCCGCUCCCAGCGUGUCCGGCGCGUGCGCCCUCGGGGGAUGCCGCCG